AUGGCGACCGGCGCACGGGUGAGUAACACGUAUCCAACCUGCCGAUAACUCCGGAAUAGCCUUUCGAAAGAAAGAUUAAUACCGGAUGGCAUACGAAUAUCGCAUGAUAUUUUUAUUAAAGAAUUUCGGUUAUCGAUGGGGAUGCGUUCCAUUAGUUUGUUGGCGGGGUAACGGCCCACCAAGACUACGAUGGAUAGGGGUUCUGAGAGGAAGGUCCCCCACAUUGGAACUGAGACACGGUCCAAACUCCUACGGGAGGCAGCAUG
rnacentral:rRNA from 1 species